NNNNNNNNNNNNNNNNNNNNNNNNNNNNNNNNNNNNNNNNNNNNNNNNNNNNNNNNNNNNNNNNNNNNNNNNNNNNNNNNNNNNNNNNNNNNNNNNNNNNNNNNNNNNNNNNNNNNNNNNNNNNNNNNNNNNCAGAGAGAGAGAGAGAGAGAGAGAGAGAGAGAGAGAGAGGGAGAGAGCGCGCUCUGGGAAGUCAGCGGUCAGCGCGAGAGAGGCACGUGAGCCGCGAGUGCCAGUCCCCUGCGGCGCCCUUUGACCCACAUUCCAGCCGGAUCCCCAGCCAAGCGUUUCCCAGACCCAGAACCCACUCAGAGGGCGCAGCAGGAAGGAGAGGGGCCAGGCGAGCUGGUCUGGCUGCACCACGGGGCAUCUAACGCACGGCCACCCCUUGGGCACGUGGACAGCGCCCCUUCUAUGAAGCUGACUCCUUCUCCCGGGAGGCGGGGGAGCAUGAUCUGGAGCUAGUGAGGGGGUCGAGGUCCCGCGUCGGGCGUAUUGGACAACUGCAGCAAAGGGUCAGAGGACGCUUGAAACUAAGGUGCGUCCUCAGCAGCCUUAGCGCUAGGGGCCCCGAGGGUCCGCAAACCCAAAAACAGUCAGGAUGACUCUGUCGAAAUCAGAGUCACAUCGUGUCCCUCUCGGCUGUUUUAAUUUUCCUAUCCCAUUUUAGCUUUUUUUUUUUUUUCUUUUUCUUGGCAACUAUUACCUUUUUAACAUUUUUCCCCCCACAAUUUUGGGGAUUGAACCCUCCGCCCUUUUUAUUUUUUUUAUUUUUUGUCUUGAGACAAGGUUUCACUAAUGUUUUUGAGGCUGGCCUCCAACUUGCAAUCCUCCAGCCCCAGCCUCCUGAGUCACUGGGAUGAUAGUCAUGAGACGCCGGGCCUGGCUUUGCCUUCUUACUUUAUUUUCCAUUUUCUAUUAUUUAUCCUUUGUCUCCUCCAACAGAAUGGAAGCUCCAUCCCGGCCAGCAGUGAUUUCUAGCCCUUCAUAUCUUCAGCAUGAAGCAUGCAGUAGGCACCCAAUAGUUGAAUGAAUAAAUUUCAGAAAGACUUAAACCUGAAUGAUGGGUUGGAUGCACGUCCCCAGCGCGCACAGCGUGUCAAGAUCUGCCCUGGAAUCUUUGAGACGCCUCCCCUCGCAGAUGUUGCAGGGGUGUGCAGAGCUGGCACCAUCCAGCGGCCCUCUGUGCUGUGGGGGUGUAUGAGUCAGCUACAGCCGCGUAACAGAUACCAGAGCAGGAUGCGCACGCCUCACCGUCCCAGAAGCCGGGAGUCCACUAUCAAGGGGUCUUGGGUUAACUCCCCCAAGGCCUCUCUCUUUGGCUGUAGAUGGCAUGACCCCUGUGUCCCCCUGGGGUCUCCACCCCCCCCAUGUGUGACCGUGUCACCAUGAAGCCCAUGAUGCUUGGUCAGCGAUCUCAGGUCCAUGGUACCCCAGAGCUCCUCACCCAGAGCCACCUGCUGAUGGAGGGCCACGGGACACCGUCCCUCUGUCCCAGCCAGAUGUUCCCAGCCCACAGCAGGAACAUUCACCCGUCAUCCACCCUGUGCAUCCAAGAUGUCUUCGAAUCCUCGCAGGGACCAGAACGCCUUAAGUGUCCUGAAAGGACGCGGCUUCCUCUGACCACAGGGCCUUUGCACCAGCUGACCACAGGGCCUUUGCACUCACUGCUCCCUCUAUUGAGAACCCUCACCACAGUCAACACAGCUCCUUCUUUGACUCCGAUCUCAAAUUUCACCCCCCUAACCUCCUUUACAGCCAGUCCGUCUCUGUGGGAGCGGAUUUCCAAACACGGGUCAUUAUUCAUUUAUUUGCAGAUGCCUCUCCCCAUCCCGAGGGUUGUCAGGUAUCCAGUCCCCCUUUCUCAGAACUCAGAGUUAACACUUGUUUUGAUUGCUGUAUUCCCUGAGGGGUGCUUCACAAAUUCCAUCUCACCUAAGCCUUCACCUUCCUGAGUGGUAGGAACUAUUCCCAUUGCCAAGGCCAUCAUGGCUCCGUAAGGCUAUGGUCACCACUACCCCCGGCAGAACUCUGAGCAAUGUCAUUCCUUUUGGUACCAGGGAUUGAACCCAGGGUCACUUAGCCACAGAGCCCCAUCCCCAACCCUGUUUUGUGUUUUAUUUAGAGACAGGGUCUCACUGAGUCGCUUGAGGUCUUGCUAAACUGCUGAGGCUGGCCUCCAACUUAUGAUCCUCCUGCCCCAGCCUCCCAAGUCGAUGGGAUCACAGGCAUAUGCCACCACGCCCCUCCCUACCCCCCCAGCUAUGUAAUUCUUGAUGGAAUUUGUGCAAAUUCCACCAAAAUAUCAAAUAGCACAACGGUCAUUCCUCAGAACAACAACAACAAAAAUAACCACAACAGAUGGAAAUUAUGGGAGAAAAAUUCCAGUCAAGGUUUCAAUGUCCUCUGGAAGGGAACUGAAUUUAUAGCCAGAAGAAGUAAGGACGGGUUCAGCUCACGUCCCCCGGUCCCAGCCUGCCCUCCCCAGCUGAAUCUGGCUGUUGGUGGGUACCAGGGAGUUAAUGAGUCACCAGUGCCUGGCUAAAGUCCUCCAGGUUGAACACAUGUUUUGGGGACGACCUCGGGACACAAGUUCCCAUCCACUCUCCUCAGGGUGGCCAUCCCCGUCCGGUAAGGCCAGCAGACCGGGGGUCACCGGCUGUCACUCGACUCUAAGCAGCUCUCAAGGAACAGAGGGUGGGUUGGGGGUGGCCACUGCUCAGGGGGACUCAGAGGUCGGAGAAAUGCCACCACCACCCCCAGCCGGAUGCUGGCCACAGCCAGAUUGAGGGAGGAAUUCCUGGUCAUUUCAAAAACACAGCAGGGCACACAGUGGUCCCUGGUUGGGUAGAGAUGACACACAAGUGACCAGGUCUUGCAGAGGGCAAUUUCCCAGCUUGCACUGACCACAGGAACAGCAUGGGAACAAGACACCCCACUCCUUUUUUUAAAAAAUGCAAUUGCCAAAGAUGUCUGCAGGUCUUCGGUGGCUGGAAGGAAGUCCAGUUGAUUCGUGUCCAGCAGGUGACCUCACCUGCAGGCUGAGCUCCCGAGCCCUGGGUCUGCAUCUAGGGACCACAGAGAUGCUCAGCUCUGGUCCUACUAAUGGGAUGUCACACUUGAGAAAGAAACAGGACACUGAUGGGUGUCCCUCCCGCCCGCCACCCCGUGGGACCACUGCAUGGAGAUAUGGGCACAGAGGCGGGUCCAUUUUGGAAACAUCGCGUGGUGACCACAGUCGCGGGCACAUGGUUCGACCUCUUGCUUUUGUGCAUCAAGCAAAUCCCAUCUGGGUCCCUGGGCUCUGCUGCCCGGUGACACUGCGCAUGCUCGGCCCGCCAGCACCCCUGCUGGCCAUCAUUUCGGCGGGGGCAACGGGCGCCCCGGGACCUUGUGGCAGGCACUUGCUGGCUCGGGUGUCAGUAGAAGCCCUCCUUUGACAGGCAGGUCAGAGUGGGGGACAAGGAGGACGAGGCCAAUGGGUACUUACUUUUUUUUGGGGGGGGGACCAGGGAUUGACCCCAGGGGUCCUUCACCCCUGAGCCCCUUCCCCAGCCCUUUUUAUUUUAUUUAGAGACAGGGUCUCGCUGAAUUGCUCAGGGCCUCACUAAGUUGCUGAGGCUGGCCUCCAACUUGCGAUCCUCCUGCCUCAGCCUCCCGAGCUGCUGGGAUGACAGGUGUGCGCCACCGCGCCUGGCCUCACUCUGGUUUUGAUUUGCAUUUCCCUAAUGGCUAAUGAUAUGGAACAUUUUCAUAUAUUUCCAUAUUGGCCAUCUGCAGUUCUUCUUUUGAUAAGUGUCGGCCUAAUGGAUUGGCCCAUUUGGGAACUGGGGGUAUUUGAGUUUUGGGGAAUAGUUUUGUGAGCCCUUUGUGUAUUCUAUGGAUGAGGCCAGGUAGCAAGGAUUUCCUCCCAUCCUGCAGGCUGUCUCUUCACACUGAUCCCUUUGCUGCGCAGAAGGGUUUCGAUUUGAUGCCACCACAUUUAUAUUUCCUGGGACUUAGGGGGUCCUGUUGAGAACGUCACCAAUGGUGCCUCGGUGCUGGAGGGUUGACCCCAUAUUUCCUUCCAGGUCUGGUUUCUGACCUAAUUCCGAGGGCUUGGAUCCAUUUCACAUUGGCUUUUGUGCAGGGUGAGAGAGAAGGGUCUGGUCUCCCUCUUCCAUCGGCAAAUGGCGACGAUUUGAGUUCUUUCUUUCCUAUUUUUAUCCACUUUCUUUCCUUCUCUUUCCUAAUUGCCCUGGCUACAGUGUCUUGAGGAGGGUUUCCUCAGUGUUUUAUCCUAAAUGGGGCACUGGGUUGGGUCAACAGCCUUCUCUGCACCCACCGAGAUGCCUACGUGACAUUUGUCAUUAAUUCUGCCUCUGUGCUGGGUUACAGUAAUUGACUCGGGGAAGUCGAACCAUCCUUGCAUUCCUGGUAUAAAGCCAAUGCGGCCAUGAUGGUCCAUCUCGGUUGCUAAAUGUGAUUGGCGGAUAUUUUAUUAAGUAUUUUUGCAUCUCGGUUCACCAGGGAUAUUGGUCUGUAGUUUUCUUGCCUCGAGAUGUGUCCUUCUCUGGUUUUGGUAUGAGUGUGAGGUUGACCUCAGACAAUGGAUUUGGACAGGUUCCAUCCCUUUGUAUUUUAUGGAAUACAUUUGAGGAGCAUUGGCAUUAGAUCUUCUUUAAAGGUUUGGUACAAUUCAGCUGAGAAUAUGUCUGGUCCCAGGCUUUUCUUUGUUUAAUAACUUUUGUUUGUUGUUUGUUGGUUGGUUGGUAUCAGGGAUUGAACCCUAGCAAUAAUCCAAACCCUAACCCUAACCCUAUUGAACCCUACUGGGCUCAGGAUUGAACCCUGAGCCCCAUCCCCAGCCCUUUUUAUAUUUUAUUUAGAGACAGGGUCUCCCUGAGUUGCUUAGGGCCUCACCAAGUUGCUGAGGCUGGCCUCCAACUUGUCAUCCUCCUGCCUCAGCCUCCUGAGCCUCUGGGAUGACAGGCAUGUGCCCUGCAUCUGGCUGUUAAGUGGCUUUUUAAUCACUUUUUCUAUCUCAAUUGCUGUUAUUGGUCUGUUUAGGUUUUCUAUAUCUUCUUCGUCCAAUGUUGGCAGGUCAUGUGUGUCUAGAAAUAUAUCCAUUUUCUUGUAGAUUUUCUAAUUUAUUGGAGACGUUUUAAAAACCACUCCCUGAUGGUCCUCUGUGAUGCUGUAAUGUCUGUGGUGAUGUCUCAUUUUCUCUCUGUAAUGUCUGUGGUGAUGUCUCGUUUUUCUCAUUAUUAGGUAUUUAUUUGGGGUCUUUCUGAUUUUCUCAGACAACCACUCAUAGCUAUGAACCUUCCUCUUAGAACGGCCUUUACAGUGUCCCACUCCCAGAGGUUCUGAGAAGUUGUAUCACUAUUCUCAUUGGAUUCCAAGGAUUUUUUAAAAAUUAUUAUUUCUCUCCUGAUUUCUUCAAUCUCCAAGCUCAUCUUCAAAACUACAUUUUCUGGGCUGGGGCUGGGGCUCAGGGGUACAGAGCACUUGCCUAGCAUAUGUGAGGCCCUGGGUUCGAUUCUCA
rnacentral:lncRNA from 1 species